ACUCUCUCAGGUUCGCACCUGGAGAGUUUCUAGUACUCUACCAGUCUCGACAGUGGAAGGGAGAGUCAAACAAAGGCAAAAUCCAUUCCAUUCCUAGCUUGGGCAGUGGCUAAAGAGUGGAAGAUAAUCUGCUACAACU